UUAUAGAGAGGUCUUUGAUACUUCCCUUCAAAAAGAGACUACUAUUUGAUAAUGUACUGGUUCCAUUUCAUUGCUGUUAUAUAACAAUCUCAAAUGAAAUGUAUUAAAUUGUGUUAGCUGAGUACUAAAUUCAGUAAACUCACUAUCCAUGUGUCCCAGGGAUGAACCUCAUCGCAUACUGAAUGAUACAUUGAGAAACAAACUCGUGUUAAACAGGGGUUAUUUUUUCUGCAUGUAAAAUCAUGAGGUGGCUGCCUCCACCAGAUUUCAUGCUGCCGCCUGCUCUUGUCAAAGUCUGACGGGUGUUUAAAUGAAGAACAUGAUUUUCCAAGAACAGCACUUGGGGAAUUUGUCAGUUACUCUAUAACUGCUGUAACGGCAUUUAGCUGAUGAAGUGGCAUCGCGGUAUCGUAAUCCAAGUUGCCACCAACAGAGACUCCAGACUGCAAUGGAGUUCAUAAACAUGAAUGAUCAUCCUGAGAGUUAUACAGAUAAUCAGUUUUCAUUUUGCAUCCACACUUAAAUCACAAAUGCUCUCUGUCUUUCUCCCUUUACAUUUAGUUAUUAUCUAAUAAUAUUCAGCGCCCUCAUGUUUCAGUUACAGCUUGUUAGCGUGUUUUUAUUUUUCAAAGCUUCAGCUUGCCAACACAUUAUAAGAGAGUAGCCUACAUAUUGA